GAAGCCAGCGCGGCCGCGGGGGGAGUCCGGGUGAGUAGGAGAAGAUGGCGGAGGCAACGGACGGGUCGCGGUUGCGUGGCGUCGCCCACCACGACCCACUCCACGGGCUCUGAGGCCCGGGGAGCGCCAGGUCACUCGCUCCGUCCUGUCCCCCGCCCCUGGGCUUCGCCAUUUUUCCCCAGGGCCUGGGUCGGGGAGUUGGUGCGGGUUUCUUUGGUGUCCCCGGCCUCUUCCGCGCUUAGGCUUUUGGGGUACGGGAAGCAAGGAGUCAACUUGGGUGCCGGGCCGGGUCUACGCCGUAGCCCUCUUUCGGGCGCAAGGGCCACUCCCCCCGGGGUCUGAGAGUGAAUCAGCCCAGGGCCCGGCUUAACUGCAUCGGUGAUUAUCGCUACCCUGCAGUUCCUUGAAGGUCCUCCGUCCUGGAGCAGUAAGAUCCUUGACGUAACUAGAAAUGGCAGGACGGAGUCUCGCUCUGUCACCCAAGCUGGAAUGCCGUGGCGCAAUCUUAGUUCACUGCAACCUCUGCCUCCUCGGUCCAAGCCAUUCUCCUGCCUCAGCCUCCCGAAUAGGUGGGAUUGCAAUCACAUGCCACCAUGCCCAGUAUUUUUAUUGUAUCUUUUAUUUUUUUAUGGUAUUUUUAGUACAGACAGUUUCACCAUGGUGGCCAGGCUGUUCUCGAACUCCUGACCUCAUAAUCUCCCCGCCUCGACCUCCCAAAGUGCUGGGAUUAUAGGCGUGAGGCCCUGUGCCCAGCUGGCACUUAACAUUUAAAUCGUAUUAAAUUCUUACCAGCAGUAUGUGAAGUGUCUGUCACAACAGAAAAGAUAUGCUGGAGAAUAUCACAAAAAUAAGUUUGAUAAAAACUCUGAGCUGCAGCUUCUUCUUGUGCAACAUUUUGUAAGAGUGUAAAAAGUAUCUGUAAGCCUAAAAGACAUAGAAUACCAAUGGAAAGUUACUACAGACUGACAGCACUCAUGAUAGUAUUUAGCUCUUAUCAAAGUAUUCUGAAUCUAACCCUGUUCUCCCUUUUUUUUGGGAUGAUGACUAAUAAUUACUUGCAUAAGGUUUCUUAAAUUAAUAAUGGAAUACAACUAUAUCCAAUGCUGGCUUACUUAUAAAUUAUAAUAAGUUGUGUGAGAGCUAAACUGUGAAGAUGUAAAGGCAUAAAGAUCAUAUAAUGGACUUUGGGGACUUGUGGGGAAGGGCAGGAGUGGGUGAGGGAUAAGACUACACAUAAGGUGGAGUUCAUACACAUGAGGGAUAAGACUACACAUAAAGUAGAGUUCAUACUGCUCACAUGACAGGUGCACCAAAAUCUCAGAAAUCACCACUGAAGAACUUAUUCAUGUAACCAAAAACCACCUGUUCCCCAAAAACUAUUGAAAUAAAAAAAGAACCUCAUGAAUAUUUUUUAAAAGCCUAUGGGAAAAAAAUUACAAUCUAAGUUAUGACUAUUACCACCCUUUCACCAUUUCUGAAAGCUCAGCUGAUUCUAUAUGAACUUCUACAACAUCACUACCCAGUAGAACUUUGUAUUACGCAAACCAAUUAUUACUAGGCCGCUCUCCCCAUAACUCAAUUCUGCCUAUGGACUCACUUGGAGUGGAGUGGAACAGUUGAUUAAACUGCUUAUAGGAUUUUCUCAGAUGUUCAUAUAUGUAAUUCACACACUCAAAACUCUGAACAAGUAAUACCUUCCUAUGUACAAUUAACUAUAUUUGUAUUUUUGGAUUGGCAGGCAAAUGAAUAAAAGAACAUCUUUUAUUUA
ensembl:lncRNA USP34-DT USP34 divergent transcript